rnacentral:rRNA from 1 species
UAGGGAAUAUUGGUCAAUGGACGGAAGUCUGAACCAGCCAUUCCGCGUGCAGGAAGAAGGUCCUAUGGACUGUAAACUGCUUUUAGCAGAGAAGAAACGCCUUCAUUUAUGAGGGUCUGACGGUAUCUGCGGAAUAAGCACCGGCUAACUCCGUGCCAGCAGCCGCGGUAAUACGGGGGGUGCAAGCGUUAUCCGGAAUCACUGGGUUUAAAGGGUGCGUAGGCGGGAUAUUAAGUCAGUGGUGAAAGUCUGUUGCUUAACGAUAGAAUUGCCGUUGAUACUGAUGUUCUUGAAUUGGGUUGAGGUUAGCGGAAUGUGACAUGUAGCGGUGAAAUGCAUAGAUAUGUCAUGGAACACCAAUUGCGAAGGCAGCUAGCUGGGCCUUGAUUGACGCUGAGGCACGAAAGCGUGGGGAGCAAACA